CAAAAAAAUUUUGUCUCCUCUGUCUGCUAUGGGUCGCUGAUUGCCAGCGCCUGCAGCUAGCUAGCUAGCUGUACUAAAGCUCCGGUCGGGCCGGUCACGUAGCUGUUGACGAGUUGGUGAACUUGUCUUAGCUUAGAUUUCACGUUAUUCAUGCCUACAUGAGCUGCAUACAACUGCUCUAAUCGCUAGGAUGUGGAUGGACAUUGAUUUAAUUCCCAUUCAGCAAUUGGACUGAACCUGUACUGUAACACAGUAUGGAUGAGCUUCAUUGAAUUCCUCCAAGAGCUCUGUACUCUGUUCUGAUCAUUUUGAAGAUGCUUGCUUGACAGAACUGGGCAAACGAUUCGUCUUAGACAGGAUGCUGUCCCAACCAUAUUUGAUAUCCCCCCUCGUCUUCAGAAGAAUUCACACAAGCCAGGGAAACCCCCGGAAGAAAGACGUUUCGAUUCAGCGAACAACCUCCCAGAUACUGCAAAGACACCUGUACCAAAGUCCUCAGCACUUUCAUUUCUCAAGGACCACUACUACUCAAUACCAGAAAGUCCAGGAGGGGUAAAGUGGAAGUUAACAACAAUAAUGGACUUUAUUAAAAACUUGGAGAAGAGGCUGGAGACCACACAGAAGUGUAGAUUACAUGUACUUGCUGUUAAGUUUGGACAAACCUGACUUGCACAACUUUACAACAAAUAAUUUACGCUAUGUGCAUUCUGAU